UCGGGAAUUUUGGGCAAUGGGGGAAACCCUGACGAAGCAACGCCGCGUGGAGGAUGAAGGCCUUCGGGUCGUAAACUCCUGUCGACCGGGACGAACGCUAUUGGGCCCAAUACGCCCGAUAGUCGACUGUACCGGUGGAGGAAGCCACGGCUAACUCUGUGCCAGCAGCCGCGGUAAUACAGAGGUGGCAAGCGUUGUUCGGAAUUACUGGGCGUAAAGGGCGCGUAGGCGGUCCUGUCAGUCCCUUGUGAAAUCCCCGGCUCAACUGGGGAACUGCAAGGGAUACAGCAGGGCUUGAGUUCGGGAGAGGGAAGCGGAAUUCCGGGUGUAGCGGUGAAAUGCGUAGAUAUCCGGAGGAACACCGGUGGCGAAGGCGGCUUCCUGGACCGAUACUGACGCUGAGGCGCGAAAGCUAGGGGAGCAAACGGGAUUAGAUACCCAUGUAGUCCCUGAGCGGGCUGGCAAGGCGCAU
rnacentral:rRNA from 1 species